rnacentral:rRNA from 1 species
GACGAACGCUGGCGGCGUGCUUAACACAUGCAAGUCGAGCGGUAAGGCCCUUCGGGGUACACGAGCGGCGAACGGGUGAGUAACACGUGGGUGACCUGCCCUCAGCUUCGGGAUAAGCCUGGGAAACCGGGUCUAAUACCGGAUAUGACCAUGGGAUGCAUGUUCUGUGGUGGAAAGUUUUUCGGCUGGGGAUGGCCCGCGGCCUAUCAGCUUGUUGGUGGGGUGAUGGCCUACCAAGGCGGUGACGGGUAGCCGGCCUGAGAGGGCGACCGGCCACACUGGGACUGAGACACGGCCCAGACUCCUACGGGAGGCAGCAGUGGGGAAUAUUGCGCAAUGGGCGGAAGCCUGACGCAGCGACGCCGCGUGGGGGAUGACGGCCUUCGGGUUGUAAACCUCUUUCGCCAGGGACGAAGCUUUGGUGACGGUACCUGGAGAAGAAGCACCGGCCAACUACGUGCCAGCCGCCGCCGUAA